rnacentral:rRNA from 1 species
GGGGGGGGGGGGGGGGGGGCCGGGGGCAGGGAGGGCGGGCGGGGGGGCGAGAAGCUUGCUGCGGUGAUGGUAGCGGCGGACGGGGGGGUAACACGUGGAUAACCUACCUAUAAGACUGGGAUAACUUCGGGAAACCGGAGCUAAUACCGGAUAAUAUUUUGAACCGCAUGGUUCAAAAGUGAAAGACGGUCUUGCUGUCACUUAUAGAUGGAUCCGCGCUGCAUUAGCUAGUUGGUAAGGUAACGGCUUACCAAGGCAACGAUGCAUAGCCGACCUGAGAGGGUGAUCGGCCACACUGGAACUGAGACACGGUCCAGACUCCUACGGGAGGCAGCAGUAGGGAAUCUUCCGCAAUGGGCGAAAGCCUGACGGAGCAACGCCGCGUGAGUGAUGAAGGUCUUCGGAUCGUAAAACUCUGUUAUUAGGGAAGAACAUAUGUGUAAGUAACUGUGCACAUCUUGACGGUACCUAAUCAGAAAGCCACGGCUAACUACGUG